rnacentral:rRNA from 1 species
UACGGGGGGGGCAAGCGUUGUUCGGAAUUACUGGGCGUAAAGGGCGCGUAGGCGGUUUGCUAAGUCGAAUGUGAAAACUCUGGGCUUAACCCAGAGCCUGCAUUCGAUACUGGCGAGCUAGAGUUCUGGAGGGGAUAGCGGAAUUCCUGGUGUAGCGGUGAAAUGCGUAGAUAUCAGGAGGAACACCGGUGGCGAAGGCGGCUAUCUGGACAGAGUCUGACGCUGAGGCGCGAAAGCUAGGGGAGCAAACAGG